GGCAGGUGCCAUUCUGAGGACUGGGGACACGACAGGGUCGUCCCAAAGCCUUGCUAUCAGGGAGAACAUCCCCCUCGGAUGCACUCAACGUGGUGAAGAGGAAGAAAUCCACUCAUCCAGAAAGAGAUGGAUUCAUGGAAAAAGAGAGCACCUAGCCAGAGGGGAGAAGGAGGCUCCUAGGUCUGCAUUUCAUGCAAAGGGGAGAAAAGGUAUUCUGGCCCAUGCCUGUGUUCUUCUGGGAGGAAUGAGCCUUGA
rnacentral:lncRNA from 1 species